CGUAUGGGCCUGCGGCGCAUGCGGGUCUCAUUUUUCUCGCCGCCACUGUUGGCGCCGCUACUGUUAAUCGGCUGCAUCUUGCGACUGACACAACAAGUGCAAAGACGCGACGAGCUAAAAUGUUCGAAGGCAACUAAAAGCAGCAAACGGAAAUUCUUUGCCGCCGACCGGCAAACAAUCGCAUCGAAGAAAUACAAAAGCAGAGAAGGCAACUUUCGAGAUGUUCCCAUUUUCAGAUACUCACUAUUUAAUUUGCAAAAAAAAUGCAAGUUAUCAUUUGCCUUUCUUAAAAUCUGUGAUUACAAAUAUUUUUUAUUUUUUUUCCGAAAAAAAUUAUUUAAAAUAAAACAUUAAAAAGUA